GAGGGCGUCAUUCCCUCCACCGUUAGGAUAUAGAAUAUUGAUAGGUUGCCAGCAUCCAGCCCCCUAAAUCCUGGCAUCGAUCUUGAAUCCCAGGUCCAGCCCUCUAAAUCCUGGCAUUCCACGAUCUGACCUCCCUUGGCCACAUGCGUAUCCGGUGCUCCACGACCUUGAUCCCCUUAACCCACCCACCAUCGCUCCCGCGCACCACCACCCCCUACCAACGCGGGAUCGCACGCCCCAAACCCUAGCGCCAUCUCAUUCUGAUUUGGACUGCGUUGUCAUCCGUCGCCGCACUCCUCGCCUCGCUCCUCUCCGUGCUGCAGCCAGCCCUAACCGUCCUCGUCAAUAUGCCUGUCGACACCACCUACGGCGAGACCUUGGAGGACGCCCUCGACGAACUCGCCAUACGCCGCUAUCUCACGAGUGGUGCCCUCCCUCGUGUGCUGCCCUGUAAUCGACUUUUCCCAUGAGUUGAGCGCCGCUGUGUAGUGCCAUAGUACAAGGUGCUGCUUCCUCCUCCUGCCUCUCUGUUCCAAUACUUCUGUUCUGCUUCCUCCUGCACUUGUUGUUUUAUUUUCUCCUUUUUACUGGUUCGAUCAAUUUUUUCCUGGGAAGUACCGAAGAAUGUGCAGAAAACAACUGUAGGAGUUUAACUUGGAGCCCCUUUGUCAUAGAGGGGCCAACACAAGGAUACUAUCAGCCUACCUAUUAAGAUGAGCAAAUAUGCAAGUGUUUUGAUUUUAUAGGCUUGAUAUAAGUUACGUCAUAGGAUUAUUUGCUUAUGGAUUUCAAGGAUGAAGGAAUUUUUUUUGAAACAACUACUAUGUACAUGAACAAUAUUUUAACAGUUAGAUAUAACAGAUUGGACUCUUCAGUGUUCAGGCCUUACAUUGAGAUUUCCAUUUGUUCAGUUGUGGCGCAGGUUCAAGGUUGAUUCAUAUAUGUUAAACUUACAUUGACAUAGAAAUAUAUUCGUUCGUGUCGUAUCUCUCUCUACUUUUGUAUGUUCACAAUAGCAUUUUUACUCCUAUCGUUAUCCAUUUAUAAUUUUUGACCUUCCAUUUUGUGCUUUCACAUUACGUUCAUUAAGGCCCUCGAACCUCAAGGAGUAUCUGUUACCUACUUCAUAAGUUUCUUCUUAUUAAGCAUUAGCGGAGUAUUCAUGUGUUUUGCUAUAAAGUAUCUCAAAUAAGGAUUGCUAAAAUUUACCACUCCAGACUGAUAUGACCGAUAACUGGUGGUAACCAUCCAGUUGCUGGUACUUUUCUAAUCCUAUUUUGUUCUUUUAUACUUUGUUUCCUCAAAAUCACCUCCUAGCGGCCGGUGCGGUAUUUAGGUCAAGUCAUUGUUUCUGUAUUACCUAGGUUCACACAAGAGUGUUGACAAAUGUAGUGUGCAGGUUAAACACCCAUCAGUAAUUGAUUGCUGCUAGAAUUUCCUUUUUAUUUUCUUUGGUGUUGGUGUAAUGGUCACUCUUCAUUAUCUCGAUGCCUAACGCAUUUUGUUGUUCACUAUCAUGAUUUCUUCUCGAAACCUGAUAUGUUUCCAUUGUUGCCGGGAAGCAAGUCAGAAGUUGCAUCCUCUUCAGUUGAAAAGCCUCAACCUAUUCGGACAAAAACUGUAGGUUGAGUGGAGCUUCUACAAUCACUAAGGGAUCAGAAGAUUGCAUUUAGCCUUGAUCACAAGAUGUUUGGUCAAGAGAGAGACAUGUUAAUUUGCCACCAUUUGGAUAGAGAUCUAACCGAGAUCCUAACUACCAAUACGAUUCAUCUCUAAAGGCAGAAGCUGUAUUUCCUGACAGAAGGAGUAAUCCAAAUGAGGCCUUCAAUGAGAAUGGUCUUUUUCUCAAGCUCUCCAUCAGAAAUUUUUGACAACAAAUACAUUGUUCGGACCAGCUAGGCUAUGGGUGACGAUAAUGAGGUCAUCCUUUGGUACGAUUUUGAGUCCAAUCUUCAGGUUCACCUUUCAUGUGUGUGUGCGCGCCUUGAAGUGUUGAGAUAAUCUUCACGUCUUAUUUCAUGUCAAGUCCUUAAGCCAUCUUCAGGAACCUAUUUGAGAGGGGAAGAACAUCUUGGUUAUGUGUGACUGCUAUGCACUGAAUGGAGAACCGAUUUUGACCAACAAACGGCACGACGCAACCAAGAUAUUCAGCCACCCUGGUGUCAAGGAUGAAGAACCACGAUCUGUAUCUUCAUUCCUUUCACACCUUUAGCUAUUCACAAAUCAAUUAAGAGAACUAUUGUUUGUAUCACUUUGUUUAUUCCCAAUAGUACAUCUUAUUGCGCACAAAAACCAGGUUUGGAUCGCCUGCGCAUGACCAUCGUCGAAGGUCCUACGCCGGUCGUGUUGUGAUUUCCGACGGCGUCACGUGGCGAGCUGUUUCCUCCAUGCGAUGCAACAUAUCGAUCGCUUAUUGCAUUUUCUCCAGUGUUUUCUUGGCUUCC